CUCCCUCUGUUCCUGCUUUCUCAGGAUGUCUGAGAUGCCCAGCGUGGUAAAGAUGGGAUCUUGUUCUGUUGCCCAGGCUGGUCUCCAACUUCUGGCUGCAAGUGAUCCUCCCUCCUUGGCCUGGCAAAGUGCUGGGAUUACAGGUAUGAGCCACUGUGCCUGGCCCAAAUUGCCUCUUUUUAUAAGGACACCAGUCACAUUGGAUUAGAGGCCCACCCUACUCCAAUAUCACUUUAAUUAUAUCUGUAAUGACCCUAUUUUCAAAUAAGGUCACAUCCUGAGUUACUGGGAGUUAAAACUUGAACAUAUGAAUCAAGGGGACAACAUUUGUUUCAAAGGAAAUUGCUCACCCUCCUCUUUCCUAUUCUCCCUUUCCUAAGGGCCGCACACAUACAGAGCUGAACUUGUAUCGCCGUGUAGAUGAAGACAAACACCUUUAGGAGAUGGCAGAGAAACAAAAUGGGAAACCCUCAGGUCUCCAAAUGACUACACCAAGCAGAAUUGCCCCACCAGCCUGCACCAUUCAUUUCUAGACUAUGAGCAAGAAGUACACUUCCAUCUUAUUUAAACAACCAUAUUUGGGGUUUUUGUUGUUGUUAUUGUUGUUGUUAUAGGAGCUUAGCUUUUACUCUAAGAAAUACAGCUACUCAACUCACUUCAUUAGGAUCUUAACUAUAAUAUCAAAACCUCCUAAGCACAGAAUAAAAAAUACAGUAGAGCAAUAUCAUUUAUGAUCAUAGAUGCAGAGCUUCCAAAUGAAAUACUAGCAUAUUCAAGGAAAGAUAUAUAUACCAUGACCUAGUUGUGUUUAAUUUCUGGAAUUCAAAAAUGGAAUGUUUGACAUAAGAAAAUCUAUUAGGCCGGGCGCGGUGGCUCACGCCUGUAAUCCCAGCACUUUGGGAGGCCGAGGCAGGCAGA
rnacentral:lncRNA from 1 species